CUUAGUUCAUGCCUUUCCAAACUACUGCUUUAAUCCUUCCUCUUUCUAUGUCUCCCAACCGCUCUCAUUGUCGAAGAAAUUUUUUUCCUUUUUCCUGAUUCAAAAGCGUCGACGAGAAAUCGGGCGCGAGAGUUCUGGGGGAGCAGAAUGGUUUCACGCAUGCGAAGAUUUAUGGCGGAUUUGAUAAAAUCAGAUCAUCAGGGAGCAGAAUGGUUUCAUGCACGUGAAGUAAAAUCAGAUCAUCAAUUAUGAGGGUCCUCUGCUCAUCCUGUCUAACAAUUCACUCUGGUCUUGUGAGAGACGCUGGCAUUCCAUUGUUGUGCUGACCUUUUCCAGGAUAUUCACUGUAAACUGAUAGAACAGAAGGAAGCAGAAGAUUAAACAUGGGAUUGUUCAUGAAAACUUGAGUGUUGAUUCAGUGGCUCGCGAAUAAAAAUGCUCACACCCUCUCAUGCCUGAUGUGUUUUCAUUUCCUACUAUGCUGGUAUACAAAUAUGUGGGAUGAUGCGGUGUGGGUAUGCUGUCCUAUAUAUGGUGCUUGAGACCUCAGCUGGUUCAUUUAUUAAAAAUUGGUAAGUCACCUUUUUAUUUAAAUGAUAACACCAGGAUAUGAUUGAGGGUUCUUGCCUGAUUAAGUGAGAAAUUUAGUAAGCUAGCGCUUUCCAUGUUUCGAGAAGGAGAAAACUACAAUAUAUUAGUUUGGGAGAGUAUUGAUAAGUGCCACAAUUAUCUCAGUUUUAGAAGCCAGUACUUUCUCUCUUCUCAUUUAGCCAGAAGUGUAGUCCAGUCCAACUGAAUGACCACCUUAAAAGAAGUGGUUGUAAUAUUUUUUUUGUAUUUUCAUUUAAAAGCACCGAGACUGACACCCUUAAAAGGUUGUCUUAAGAUUUUUACACAAAGUAGGUUGAAGUCUGUUACGAAUAAAUGAGAAAAUAUGAUGCCCAUUUUUCAUUGUUCAGUUGUAGGCAUAAUAUGACAGAGAAGAAGUCAUAAUGAUCAUCUUAAGCAUUAAAUGAAACACUUCUGUGAGUUCCAGCCAUUGACGCUACUGCAAUUGUCAUGAGCCAGGUGAAGUGGAUUGUGGUGACUAAUACUAAAAAGGUUGUAUCCAGUCCUGCGGAAAUCAUUGUAUGCUUGGUCAUGGUGGCAGGCGUCACAUGAAGAUAGUGUCAGCAAGCAGUGAUUCAAAAAGUGCAACCAAAGCAGAAGAUUCCCUUCCCCCCAUCUCCUAGCUGAUGGAUGAUGACCACAACUGUUCAUCAUACAGCCCAAAGAUCAAAGGAAGCACAUCCUAUCUCAUCUCAUAAUAGUUCACCUGUACAUGUAAGAGUAUACAUAGAUUUGUUCUUGUAUCUUCCCAGUAGAUAAUCCAAAGCGCUUCAGUCAAUUUGAGAACUAGAGAUCCCUCCAUGUUUCUGAACUUGAGAACAUUUGGCUGCUGAUUACAAUUUGUUUCACUGUGUAGAAACUACGUUUUUAUUUUUUGAGUAACAGUGUAGAAAUUACUAAAUUCUUAUUAGUAUUUAGGUAUUGAAAUUAGUAAUAUUAAUUGGAAUUUGCUUUCAGGUUUUGUUA